rnacentral:rRNA from 1 species
UACAGAGGUCUCAAGCGUUGUUCGGAUUCAUUGGGCGUAAAGGGUGCGUAGGUGGCGGGGUAAGUCAGGUGGGAAAUCUCGGGGCUCAACCCCGAAACUGCACUUGAUACUGCCUUGCUCGAGUACUGGAGAGGAGAUUGGAAUUUACGGUGUAGCAGUGAAAUGCGUAGAUAUCGUAAGGAAGACCAGUGGCGAAGGCGAAUCUCUGGACAGUUACUGACACUGAGGCACGAAGGCCAGGGGAGCAAACGGG